UAGGGAAUCUUCGGCAAUGGACGAAAGUCUGACCGAGCAACGCCGCGUGAGUGAAGAAGGUUUUCGGAUCGUAAAACUCUGUUGUUAGAGAAGAACAAGGGUGAGAGUAACUGUUCACCCCUUGACGGUAUCUAACCAGAAAGCCACGGCUAACUACGUGCCAC
rnacentral:rRNA from 1 species